UUUUUGAAAAUAAUUUAAAGUCUAAUCUGCCCACUGAUAUAUAAUAUUAAAGGGCUGCAGUAUAUUGACUGUACAAAGGUAGCAUAAUCAUUAGUCUUUUAAUUGAAGACUUGUAUGAAAGAUUUAAUGAAAUAUAAGCUGUCUCUUAUUUAUAAUUAGAAUUUAAUUUUUUAGUUAAAAAGCUAAAAUUAAUUUAAAAGACGAGAAGACCCUAUAGAGUUUAAUAAUUAAAUUAUUUAAGAUUUUAUAUAUAAAUUAUAAUUAAAAAAAAUUUAAUUAUUUUAUUGGGGUGAUAGAAAAAUUAAAUAAACUUUUUUUUUUAUAAUUACAUGAAUAAGUGAAUUUAUGAUCCAUUAUUAAUGAUUAAAAGAUAAAAUUACCUUAGGGAUAACAGCGUAAUUUUUUUUUUUAGUUCGUAUAAAAAAAAGAGAUUGCGACCUCGAUGUUGGAUUAAGAUAAAAUAUAAAUGCAAAAGUUUAAAAUUUUGAUCUGUUCGAUCAUUAAAAUCUUACAUGAUC
rnacentral:rRNA from 1 species